GACGAACGCUGGCGGCGUGCUUAACACAUGCAAGUCGAACGGAAAGGCCCUGCUUUUGUGGGGUGCUCGAGUGGCGAACGGGUGAGUAACACGUGAGUAACCUGCCCUUGACUUUGGGAUAACUUCAGGAAACUGGGGCUAAUACCGGAUAGGAGCUCCCGCUGCAUGGUGGGGGUUGGAAAGUUUCGGCGGUUGGGGAUGGACUCGCGGCUUAUCAGCUUGUUGGUGGGGGAGUGGCUUACCAAGGCUUUGACGGGUAGCCGGCCUGAGAGGGUGACCGGCCACAUUGGGACUGCGAUACGGCCCAGACGCCUACGGGAGGCAGCAGUGGGGAAUAUUGCACAAUGGGCGGAAGCCUGAUGCAGCAACGCCGCGUGCGGGAUGACGGCCUUCGGGUUGUAAACCGCUUUCGCCUGUGACGAAGCGUGAGUGACGGUAAUGGGUAAAGAAGCACCGGCUAACUACGUG
rnacentral:rRNA from 1 species